rnacentral:sRNA from 1 species
AGUAUUGAAUGCCGAAGACAGUAGGUGCCGUAAGGCGUAAGUUGAAAACACCUGCCGAGGAACAUACAAAACUCACAAGCAGAAUUUUGUAAACCUCUCUGUCCUCGCGAUGGAGAGGUUUUCCUUG